rnacentral:rRNA from 1 species
AAUGAACGCUGGCGGCGUGCCUAACACAUGCAAGUCGAACGAGAAAGCCUGGCUUGCCAGGCAAGUAAAGUGGCGCACGGGUGAGUAACGCGUGGGUAAUCUACCUUUGUCUGGGGGAUAACCUACCGAAAGGUGGGCUAAUACCGCAUAACGUGAUCGGGUUGCGACUUGAUCACCAAAGAUGGCCUCUCCAUGGAAGCUGUCGAAUAAAGAUGAGCCCGCGUCCCAUUAGCUAGUUGGUAAGGUAAAAGCUUACCAAGGCUACGAUGGGUAGCUGGUCUGAGAGGAUGGCCAGCCACACUGGAACUGGAACACGGUCCAGACUCCUACGGGAGGCAG